rnacentral:rRNA from 1 species
AGAGUUUGAUCAUGGCUCAGGAUGAACGCUGGCGGCGUGCCUAAUACAUGCAAGUCGUGCGGAAAGGCCACUUCGGUGGUACUCGAGCGGCGGACGGCAGAGUAACGCGUAGGAACAUACCCCAAACUGAGGCAUAACUGCUCGAAAGAGCAGCUAAUACCGCAUGUGAUCUUCGGAUUAAAGCUUCGGCGGUUUGGGAAUGGCCUGCGUCCGAUUAGCUAGUUGGUGAGGUAAAUGCUCACCAAGGCUUCGAUCGGUAGCUGGUCUGAGAGGAUGAUCAGCCUGACUGGAACUGAGAACGGUCCAGACUCCUACGGGAGGCAGCAGUAGGGAAUUUUCCACAAUGGGCGAAAGCCUGAUGGAGCAACGCCGCGUGCAGGAUGAAUGCCUUCGGGUUGUAAACUGCUUUAUUAGUGAAGAAUAUGACGGUAACUAAUGAAUAAGGGUCGGCUAACUACGUG